GAGUUUGAUCGUGGCUCAGAUUGAACGCUGGCGGCAUGCUUUACACAUGCAAGUCGAGCGGCAGCGCGGGGCAACCUGGCGGCGAGCGGCGAACGGGUGAGUAAUAGAUAGGAACGUGUCCGGGAGUGGGGGAUAACUAGCCGAAAGGUUAGCUAAUACCGCAUAUUCUGUGCGCAGGAAAGCGGGGGACCAGAAAUGGCCUCGCGCUCGCGGAGUGGCCUAUCUCCGAUUAGCUAGUUGGUGAGGUAAAGGCUCACCAAGGCGACGAUCGGUAGCUGGUCUGAGAGGAUGAUCAGCCACACUGGGACUGAGACACGGCCCAGACUCCUACGGGAGGCAGCAGUGGGGAAUUUUGGACAAUGGGGGCAACCCUGAUCCAGCCAUGCCGCGUGCGGGAAGAAGGCCU
rnacentral:rRNA from 1 species